rnacentral:rRNA from 1 species
AGAGUUUGAUCAUGGCUCAGAUUGAACGCUGGCGGCAUGCUUAAUACAUGCAAGUCGAACGGUAACAGAUUCUUCGGAAUGCUGACGAGUGGCGGACGGGUGAGUAAUACAUAGGAAUCUGCCCAUGUAGUGGGGGACAACUUGGGGAAACUCAAGCUAAUACCGCAUAAUUCCUACGGGAUAAAGAGGGCCACUGCUUGCAAGCUCUUGCUACUGGAUGAGCCUAUGUCGGAUUAGUUAGUUGGUAAGGUAAUGGCUUACCAAGACAGCGAUCCGUAGCUGGUUUGAGAGGAUGAUCAGCCACACUGGGACUGAGACACGGCCCAGACUCCUACGGGAGGCAGCAGUAGGGAGUAUUGGACAAUAGGCGCAAGCCUGAUCCAGCAAUGCCGCGUGUGUGAAGAAGGCCUGCGGGUUGUAAAACACUUUCAAUUGGGAAGAAAGAUUAUGAGUUAAUACCUUAUAAUAUUGACGU